UACAGAGGGGGCUAGCGUUGUUCGGAAUUACUGGGCGUAAAGGGCGCGUAGGUGGCCUGUUAAGUCGAACGUGAAAUCCCCCGGGCUCAACCCCGGGAACUGCGUCCGAGACUGGCAGGCUCGAAUCCGGGAGAGGGAUGUGGAAUUCCAGGUGUAGCGGUGAAAUGCGUAGAUAUCUGGAGGAACACCGGUGGCGAAGGCGGCAUCCUGGACCGGUAUUGACGCUGAGGCGCGAAAGCCAGGGGAGCAAAGCGGG
rnacentral:rRNA from 1 species